UACGGAGGAUGCAAGCGUUAUCCGGAUUUAUUAGGUUUAAAGGGUGCGUAGGCGGAAAUGUAAGUCAGUGGUGAAAUCCUGCAGCUUAACUGUGGAAUAGCCGUUGAAACUGUGUUUCUUGAGUACAUUUGAGGUAGGCGGAAUGUGGUGUGUAGCGGUGAAAUGCAUAGAUAUACCACAGAACACCGAUUGCGAAGGCAGCUUACUAAACUGUCACUGACGCUGAUGCACGAAAGCGUGGGUAUCAAACAGGAUUA
rnacentral:rRNA from 1 species